rnacentral:other from 2 species
GAAAUCCUGAUGUGUACGUUAGAGUACCUAUUUAUUUUGACCGAACAUGUUUGUUACGGGAGACGCAACAAACAUUGAGAACAAAAGCCUUUUCAUGAGGACUUGUAAUCAAUGGUGAGGGUCACCCACCUGCUAUAAGUGCGGGUACAAAAUUUAGGGAAAAUCGACGGCGCGAUCGGGAUUCUU